GUACGAUAUAUGUCUUCACCAGCAGAGGGGAGUGUCCGAGCAUUUUUUCCUGAAUAAAAACGGUCCUUCAAAAACCUGUGAAGAAAAACAAAAUACGUAAAUAACUGAGUAUUUUAUUUUUCUAAAGAAAAAAUUAACAAACAUAUUAAUUUUUUAUUAGUGAUGACAUUAAAAUGUAAAGUAUUUACAUCAAAGGAGCAAAAAGUAACACCAAUAAUUUAAGUGAUGUUAUUGUUAUCAAACGUUCAAUGUUUUCCAGCAGGGGGCAGUGGCCCAGAAUUCAUCUCCACACAAACAUGACUGUUUGUGAAAGAAAGAAAAAAUCACGAUGGACAAAUUCUUAAAACUGACAGACGCAUUGCAGUUAAUCUGGUCGGUAGAUGCACCAAGUCUGACUGAGCAGAUGUUCCACCAGAUGCUCUUUUUACAUCUUCAGACACACUCAUUCCCUUCAGUAUCUAUCAUUAUCAUCCAUCAUUACUACCGCGGCGACAUAACAAGGGUGCAGGGUUCACUUCACUUGAUGUAAAAGACUUUCCACCUUAACUAAGUAUGGUAAGUGCAUGCAACCUUAACUACAGUGAACCUAGAACUAUUAUUAUUAUUAAGUCACUCUAAAAAUGGAAUUAUAUAUAUAUUUUUUAUAUAUUUUUUUUUUUUUCACCCCCAAAAAAAUUCUGUUUUUCCAUCAUUUACAGUACUCACCCUGGACUGUUCAGUUUUUUUUUCCAAAAGAAGAUAUUUUGAAGAAUGUUGGAAAACUAUGAGAAUUAAAAUCCAUAGUAGGAAAAACAAAUGCUAUGAAAGUCCUUGGUUCCAGUUUUCAAACAUUCUUUUUUUCUGUUCAACAGAACUCCAAACUGAUUUGGAGCAAGUCGAGGGUGAGAAGUGAGGGCAGAUUUUAAUUAAGGGGGGUGAACUAUCCCUUUAACACACACUGUGACUUAGGUCACAGACACAGAUAGAAGAUCAUAUGUAGUUAAUGUGAAAAUUAUUUGGAUGCUGUGACAUACGGCAGAAUUAUAUGACCUGGUGAAUUCCUGUUAAAGCUACCGCAUAAAAAUUCCACACAAAAACCCAUGGACAGAGCAUGGCAUUGUUUUCAAAUUUGGAGCCCUUCUUUCUUUUUCUCUUUUGUUUUUCCUAUAAAAGUUUAUUAUUGGUACAAGCCAUGAAUGUUUGCUACAAAUACAGGCUCAAGACAGGAAAUCCAGGAUACCUAUAAUCCCCUGUGUGUGUGAAUUAUAAACCAUAAAGCCUAGUCUGUUGUAAACUAUUAUCUCUGACAACCCUGUCAUGCAUGAGACAGUGCUUGCUGUUCAGCAAGGUUAUCUUUCUGAUUGGUCCGCUUCACAUGGAUUGACAAGAUUGGCUCGUUCAAGUCGACAGCGUCUACAUUUUUUGUUAUGUUUAAAAAUGAUUGGGAGCUUCUAAGCCAUUUGGCUUGGCUUGCUAGUUCCAAACUACGACUGUACAAGCAUCAAUGAGUUCCUCGUGACGUGAAAAAAUGCCAAUAAAAGUCAUUUUGUUUAA